rnacentral:lncRNA from 1 species
GUGAGUGGCAGUGUGAUGAGUGUUUAUAGUGGAGACUUUGGCAAUCUGGAAGUUAAAGGAAAUAUUCAGUUUGCAAUUGAAUAUGUGGAGUCACUGAAGGAGUUGCAUGUUUUUGUGGCCCAGUGUAAGGACUUAGCAGCAGCGGAUGUAAAAAAACAGCGUUCAGACCAUAUGUAAAGGCCUAUUUGCUACCAGACAAAGGCAAAAUGGGCAAGAAGAAAACACUCGUAGUGAAGAAAACCUUGAAUCCUGUGUAUAACGAAAUACUGCGUAUAAAAUUGAAAAACAAAUCUUAAAGACACAGAAAUUGAACCUGUCCAUUUGGCAUCGGGAU